rnacentral:tRNA from 1 species
GGCCCGUUGGUCUAGGGGCAUAAUUCUCGCUUUGGGUGCGAGAGGUCCCGGGUUCAAAUCCCGGACGGGUCC